GCCAUGCUUGUCAAGGAGGAUAAUUGAGGCUGAGGUUAAAAGACAUUAAGAGCCUUAAUGAAAGCAAACUGUGAGCAGCUGUUCCCAAAGUUAUUAUGUGUUUGGCUUGGACUUCUGCUUCCAUGGAUUCCUAGGAUUCAUUUGCAAAAUAACUUGCUUCAAUAUUUACACAUUGGCCGAAGCUGAUUGAGCGGGAAUAAUGAGCCUUCGAUAUCUGCACUGCACAAGGUGGGUGAAGACUUGUUUCCACUGGGUAGAGUGUAUGGCGGAAUAAACGGUGUGUC
rnacentral:lncRNA from 1 species